rnacentral:tRNA from 1 species
AGGGGAACCUGCGGCUGGAUCACCUCCUUAAAUUAAGAGCACUAAAGAAUUUAAAGUGCCCACACAGUUUGUUUUCGAGAAUAAAGAAACCCAAUGCACCCGAAAGGGGCAUAAAUGCUAGGCACAGCGAGAGCGAAGCGCGAGCGAUAAGCUCACGCGAGUCAAAGCAUUUUUACAAGGAUUUUUGUUUUAAUCGAGGCGUGCAUGCGAGCGAGCGAAGGAGCAUACAUCAGUAUGUGACUGAGUGAGAGAGCAUAAGCAGCGCAGAGUAAAACGAAAAGCCGCAGUAAAAAAAGGGGUCGUAGCUCAGCUGGGAGAGCACCUGCCUUGCACGCAGGGGGUCAGGAGUUCGAUCCUCCUCGGCUCCACCAAAUUAGAGGGUUUAUUCAUUGGGAUUAUCCAGAUUAAAGUGCUUUUAUUUGAGGGCAUUUUAAUCUGGAAUAACCAGACGUUCAUUAAAAAUUAGGGUAAAUAAAGAGGUAACACAAGCGUCUUGUAUUGUGAAAGCAUGUAAUCUGAGGUAAUUGAGAUUAUAUGGUCAAGAAGAG